rnacentral:sRNA from 1 species
UUGCGACAGCGAUUGUAACGGCAUCCUUUUGUGGAGCGUUGUAGCGAACAAAAGAUAGAGUGAAAAGCGCGAUUAGUC